rnacentral:rRNA from 1 species
UACGUAGGGGGCUAGCGUUGUCCGGAUUUAUUGGGCGUAAAGAGCGUGUAGGCGGCCAAGUAGGUCCGUUGUGAAAACUGGAGGCUUAACCUCCAGCUGUCGAUGGAAACCAUUUGGCUAGAGUCCGGAAGAGGAGAGUGGAAUUCCUGGUGUAGCGGUGAAAUGCGCAGAUAUCGGGAAGAACACCAGUGGCGAAGGCGGUUCUCUGGGCUGGCCUUGACGCUGAGGCGCGAAGGCGUGGGGAGCGAACGGG